rnacentral:rRNA from 1 species
AUGCUUAACACAUGCAAGUCGAACGGUAACAGAGAGGUGCUUGCACCUUUGCUGACGAGCGGCGGACGGGUGAGUAAUGCUUGGGAACAUGCCUUGAGGUGGGGGACAACAGUUGGAAACGACUGCUAAUACCGCAUAAUGUCUACGGACCAAAGGGGGCUUCGGCUCUCGCCUUUAGAUUGGCCCAAGUGGGAUUAGCUAGUUGGUGAGGUAAUGGCUCACCAAGGCAACGAUCCCUAGCUGGUUUGAGAGGAUGAUCAGCCACACUGGGACUGAGACACGGCCCAGACUCCUACGGGAGGCAGCAGUGGGGAAUAUUGCACAAUGGGCGCAAGCCUGAUGCAGCCAUGCCGCGUGUGUGAAGAAGGCCUUCGGGUUGUAAAGCACUUUCAGUCAGGAGGAAAGGUUAGUAGUUAAUACCUGCUAGCUGUGACAUUACUGGCAGAAGAAGCACCGGCUAACUCCGUGCCAGCAGCCGCGGUAAUACGGAGGGUGCGAGCGUUAAUCGGAAUUACUGGGCGUAAAGCGUACGCAGGCGGUUUGUUAAGCGAGAUGUGAAAGCCCCGGGCUCAACCUGGGAACUGCAUUUCGAACUGGCAAACUAGAGUGUGAUAGAGGGUGGUAGAAUUUCAGGUGUAGCGGUGAAAUGCGUAGAGAUCUGAAGGAACACCAGUGG